rnacentral:rRNA from 1 species
UACGUAGGGGGCAAGCGUUGUCCGGAUUUACUGGGCGUAAAGGGCGAGUAGGUGGCUAUAUAACUCCUUUGUGAAAUCUCCCGGCUUAACCGGGAGGGUGCGAAGGAAAGUGUAUGACUAGAGGGACGUAGAGGAGAACGGAAUUCCCGGUGUAGCGGUGACAUGCGUAGAUAUCGGGAGGAACACCAGUGGCGAAGGCGGUUCUCUAGACGUUUCCUGACACUGAGGCGCGAAAGCGUGGGUAGCAAAC